ACACCCGCAGCAUAUGGAGGUUCCCAGGGUAGGGGUCAGAUUGGAGCUGCAGCUGCUGGCCUACACCACAGCCACAGCCAUGCCAGAUCCGAGCUGCAUCUGUGACCUAUACCAGGGCUCACAGCAAAGCCAGAUCCUUAACCCACUGAGCGAGGCCAGGGAUUGAACCCACAUCACAUGGAUACUAGUCGGAUUCCUUUCCACUGAGCCACAGAGGGAAUUCCAAGCUCCUCAUUCUUAAGUUGCAUUUCAAACCAGGCAAUGAGUCAAACGCAGGAUUUACUAUUCACCGCAGAACAAUCAUAUCACAAUAACGUUGCAGUUUACCCAGAUGUGGGGCUUCCUUAAGUCAAAGGGGUCACAGAGGUUCAAAACCCAGGAAAACCCAGGCCUGGAAAGCUUAAAGACCUCGCCCAAAGUCCCUCCAGAGAAUUAGCAGGUGCCAGCUUUCCCAACCCGCCUCCCGCCCCAAGCGGCGAGCGGCUGCCUUUGCAGGAACAGUGGGUGGAGGGGGCCACUCCACUGCAGGCUCACCCCAUUCUACCCUACUCUGGGGCCUCGUGACUCAGGAGGGGCCACCACGCAGGCCAAGCCAGGCAGGUGGGUCCGCAGCUGGAGGACGGACCGUGGCUCCCCCACCCCAGGAGCUCCAGGCCACUGCAAGUCCUCCUGCACUGUCCCCACCUUCCCCUUUGAUCCCAAAGAGAUGGAGAGAAAAGAAAAAUCCCCAGUCGGCAUCGAUUUGCCCAAAGCAAAGGCAACACAAAGGCUGAGGCUGUUUCCAUGGAGAUGCGAUCGGCGAAGCAAAGGAACAAAACAGAGCAAGAAACACAAACCAUCACCACCUUCCGGGCCAGCGUGAUGGAUGCUGGCGGGCCAGCGCCCUGACAGGAAGACAUUGGCAGGAUUAAAGGUAAUCAGAAGAUCUUGCAGCCAAACCAGGAGCCCUUUCAGUUGGUAGAGAGGGAGGCGGCAGCCUCACCACCCCCCUGAGCCUACAAAUUAGCCUGGGCCCCACUCUUGAGAAAGACCCUGAGCCAACAACCCCCAAAACCCCACAUGGAAAUCCAGAGGAAGUCAUUAUUCCCUUGACAAAAGGAUUCGUUGCUCGACAAAGGGCUUCCUUGAAACGGCUGCAUCCCAAGGUAGACUGGAGGUUGCUUUGUUUCAGUAGUUACUUCUCAGAGGCAGAGGAGAGGGAGUAGGAGGGAGUAACUUCCAGUUGAAAGUUUGUAAGAGAAGAUGGCAGAAUUCGUAAGGGGAAGGCAUAGACUCUGUUUCUAAAACACCUGCUGGGAGAGGCCCUGGACAAACUGAGCCAGAGCAGCUUUCCAAGAGAGGAGGCUGGGCGGCAAGGGUCCCAACAGGUCCCCACGAGACGGACCCCAGCCACCAGGCUGCAAGGGAAUGUGGGAAGCAGGAGGGGGCAGCAAGAAGGCAAGAGGCCAACAGUGGGCCCAGAGGGUGGCAGGGGCUCGGGGGACAGUGGUGAGAGCCUCCUGGCCUGCUCUGCUCUUCAUCACUUGACACCUAAGAAAGUGCCUCUUUGCAUGUGUUGUCAUCCUGGGAAGGGGCAAGGCCGUGAGCCAGCAGAGCCCUGCCCUUGGAGGGUCUCAGCUAGGCCUUCACUUCACUUGGUCUUUUCCAUCAUUUCUCUGGGAAAUAAGAAACAAGUGUAACGGGAGUUCCCAUUGUAGCUCGGUGGUUAACGAAUCCGACUAGGAACCAUGAGGUUGCAGGUUCCAUCCCUGGCCUUGCUCAGUGGGUUGAGGAUCCGGCAUUGCCGUGAGCUGUGGUGUAGGUUGCAGAUGCGGCUCGGAUCCCAUGUUGCUGUGGCUCUGGUGUAGGCUAGUGGCUACAGCUCCGAUUGGACCUCUAGCCUGGAAACCUCCGUAUGCCGCGGGAGCGGCCCAAGAAAUGGCAAAAAGACCAAAAAAAAGAAAGAAACAAGUGUAACAAGAGCAAGAGUAUUUCCUGCUCAUGCUGCGUUGGGUCCGACACUACACAGCCAUUGUCUCCUGUAUCCCCUCAAGCACCUGUGAGGUUCCCACUCACCGACGUGGAGACAGGUAUAGAGAAGAAAGGCCCUCGCUCAAGGUCAUGUAGCUCUUGAGCGGCAGCGCCAGGAUUCAAACCCAGGUCUGCCCAACCUCAAAGCCUGUGAACCCUGGCGCUAGAUGCCUGCCACAUCAACCCAUUUCACAGACAGAGAUGCUGAGGAUGAGCGAGUUGCAUUGAGACAGGAGAUGGCCUCUGAAGACCAACUCUCAUGAGUCCCCAAGGCUUUUUUGCCUUGGGAUAUCUCCCCAUGGAAAGCCAGCCAGUUUUCUUGGUGGGGACAUGGGCUGGAUCCGGGCCUCAGUUUUCCUCUCUGCCCCUGAGAGGCUUCGCCGCAGGGCGAGCCCCCUGCCAUCUCACCGAGAGUGAGGGACCGGGAAGAAACACAGGACAAGGUCCAGGGUUGUCACCAGGAAACCCACAGGAAGAAGAGGCUCUGUCCCAGCUCCACCAAAUAUUCCCAAAGAUCCGCAGGCUUGAGGGCGAGCAAUGUAAUGUUCUCAGCGCAAAACUCUGGGCAGCAUCUCCAGCAGGCAUCUGGUUCCACGGUCUUCCCACCAAGAUCCAUUUGGGAAACUCAGGGAUGUCCUGGCCUGGUCGGCUUUCAGGGAAUCGAGUUCCAAAACCUCCCCUUCCACGCGAAGUCUUUCCUGCCACUGGGAACCCUCUGAGCCGACCAGUUCUCCUCCUGGUGGUCCUCCUAACACCUCCCCAAGGAAAGGGCCACCCUCCCGACUUUGCCCUGGUAAAAGCCACCAGUCAAAGGGACAACUCAGGAAUGCUGACUCCUGGGAGGGGAGCCCCGAGGAGGGACACCGAGAAGGGAGCUGGCCUUAUUUUGCCAAGCUUGCCUCUUAUGCUCCCAUCUGUUUCUUUCAGGAUUAGAGUUAGGAAACAAGGAAGCCGACAGAGGGAUGCCUGUUUACCACGCUCAUUUGAACCAAACAACAGAGCUGGACUUUUUCUAACAUCAAGUGUGAUGUGGCUGGCGGGUCUAACAACGAGGUCCAGCUUUGCCAGUUAGGAAUUACGGCAGACAGUUUCCAUAACUUGUGGGCAGUGCUUGCUGUCCCAAGGCUUUAACAAAAAUAUCUCUGACAUCCAGUAAGUCUGGAAAUGCACCUUACUUAAAAUUAUGAUUAAAAAAUGUUAUAUGUGAAAAAAAAAAUUUUUUUUUUUGGCCAAGCCCGCAGCAUGUGGAAAUUCCCAGGCCAGGGAUUGAACCCGAGCCACAGCAGUGACAACACUGGAUCCUUAACCACUAGGCCACCAGGGAACUCCAUUAUGUGUGAAUUUUUAAAUGUGCAAGGGGGAGUACCCGCUGUGGUGAAACGAGAUGAGCAGUGUCUCUGCAGUGCCAGGACACAGGUUCGAUCCCCAGCCCAGCAGAGUGGGUUAUGGAUUUAGCGUUGCCACAGCUGUGGUAUAGGAUGCAAAUGCGGCUCAGAUUUGAUCCCUGGCCUGGGGAUUCCAUAUACUGCGGGGCGGCCGGGAAAAAAAAAAAGAAAGAAAGAAAUAUUAAGGGGAUACAGUUUUCCAAAAUUCUUUUGAUAGGACUGGGAGCAAAAAUGUUUGAAACCUGCGUCUUUAUUUCCUAGGAACCACACAGAGAGGAACCAUACCACAAAGCAGAAAGCAGACCCUCUGGGCCAUACGAGUGGUAGGUUCUCAAGAGAAGACAGCUGCAGCGUAUACAGGAGACCUGGAACCCAGGUGUAAGUUUAUUUCUGCUACUUGGUAGCUAUGUGGAUCUGCCUGAGUCACCCAAACUCCCUGAGCCCCAGUUUCCUUCGAAGCAAAUGGGAACAAUACUACAUGAGACAUUCCUCAAAUCCUGACAAUGGUGUGAUGACAACAUUAAAAAAUGAAUGGAGAUGUGCACAGUACGAACCACCCCAAAGAGCAGCCAACCAGCAAGUAUUUUCUGGUUUGGCUUGGACAAUUUUAUAGUCUUUCUCCAGAUGACACUGGUAACCAAUUUUUUUCUUUUUUUUUUUUUU
rnacentral:lncRNA from 1 species